GACGAGGGAUCCUAGCGUUGUUCGGAAUUACUGGGCGUAAAGCGCGCGCAGGCGGUUAUGUAAGACAGAUGUGAAAUCCCCGGGCUUAACCUGGGAACUGCAUUUGUGACUGCAUAGCUAGAGUACGGUAGAGGGGGAUGGAAUUCCGCGUGUAGCAGUGAAAUGCGUAGAUAUGCGGAGGAACACCGAUGGCGAAGGCAAUCCCCUGGACCUGUACUGACGCUCAUGCACGAAAGCGUGGGGAGCAAACAGGAUUAGAUACCCCUGUAGU
rnacentral:rRNA from 1 species